rnacentral:rRNA from 1 species
GGACCCGCACAAGUAGUGGAGCAUGUGGUUUAAUUCGAAGAUACGCGCAGAACCUUACCAACACUUGACAUGUUCGUCGCGACUCUAAGAGAUUAGAGUUUUUCGGUUCGGCCGGACGAAACACAGGUGCUGCAUGGCUGUCGUCAGCUCGUGUCGUGAGAUGUUGGGUUAAGUCCCGCAACGAGCGCAACCCUCACUUUUAGUUGCCAUCAUUUAGUUGGGCACUCUGAAAGAACUGCCAGUGAUAAGCUGGAGGAAGGUGGGGAUGACGUCAAGUCCUCAUGGCCCUUACGUGUUGGGCUACACACGUGCUACAAUGGCAUUUACAAUAGGAAGCAAGAUGGCGACAUUAAGCAAAUCCUAAAAAAAUGCCUCAGUUCGGAUUGUACUCUGCAACUCGAGUACAUGAAGCUGGAAUUACUAGUAA